GACAUUUCUUUUAAUGAUACCACCCAGAUUUUCUAUCUUGUUGCUACAGCCCCAAUGUUCUGAAGCUCAGCCAGUAACUCUCCCCUUCUCCCUCUCAUGCUUUUCUCAUCGCAACUCACUGCACAGUAUGAGCACGCUUCAGUGGGAAAGCAUGCAUGGAAUUAGAUUUUAUAGCACACUUCUGGGAACUGUAGCGAUGCACUUCAUAACUGCACAGCCGUGAUGCAUCAACUUCAGGGCGUGGGAGAUAGUCCCCAUAGUUACUGCUGAUUUGAUUGUCAAGGCCAGCAACUGCUAAUUUAAUUUUACUUCUAAAAUUUGCCAUAAUAAAAUGUAAGCUCAUUUCAGACUUAGAAAAGGGGUAUCACCAAUUUGAGACACUAAAAUUUCAAUCAUACAGCAUGUGCUUUGGGACUGAAUGGAGGCAAAAAAUCAAUCAUUAAAUUUAUAGCACAUAAGGUAACUUAGAAUUGCAUGAUUACAUACACACAGCAUGUGUUUUUCACGAAGAUGGUUCAUGGGAGAUGCUAAUUCAUGUCCAAUGUCCAUUUGGCACACAGCUGGUAGCAUUGGAUUACAGAUUAUGGAAUUGCAGGCGGGAUGGCCAUACACUGGAAGUCAAGUUGGAGCAACGAUAGCAUGUAUGUUCUAGAUCUGUGCUGCUUUGGUUUCCUGGGUAGUCUUUCAGAGGAAGAGAAUUCUGAUCAUCGAGCUGAAGAAUACAGUUGGAAACACUGGAGUGAUUUUGGGUUGAUGAAGAGAGAACUGGAGUUAACAUUUCAGAUUGAUGGCUCUUGAUACAGAGAAAAACUGGAGAUCAAUAGGUUUAAAGACUUGGCAAAAGAGGCUGUUAAAGGGUCAGAUAAGAGAACAAAAAAUCAGACUGAUGCCAUAAAUGGAUGAAGCAGAAUUUUUACCUGAAGUUACUGAAAAAAAUAUUGUUAAUGCUGGACAUCAGAAAUAAGUGCUGAUUAUCUAACGUUGAACUCAUUGGUAAGUCCAGAGGGUUGUAAUAUACCAAGAAUGGAGAUAAAGUGACAUUCCUUGAUCUUAUGUUGAUCUUCACUGAAACAUCAUGGGAGGCUGAGGUCACAAUAGUCAUGCCAGAACUGCAGUGGAGGAUUACAAUGACAAGCAAUUGGAAGCUGAAAGUCACUACAGAUUGAACAGGAGGUACACAUUCUCCCUAAUCUGGAGGAGACCAUAUCAGGAGUAUCAAAGGGACAUAUAACAUUGCAGAGAAGGGAGAGUGAAAUAGAAUGGCCUUGGGAAAACAUUUCUCGCAGCUGCAAGCUCACUGUCUACUACAACCUCUGAACCUCUCUGGUGAAGGGAGAAUGAAUUGACCAUCCAACAGCAGAAGAACAACAUUGCAUCUAGAUGAAAUACCUAAUUAAACACCAGAACAUGGUGGAGAACCUCCUAUCUAGGAAGAAGAACUGUUGGAGCCCUUGAUUUGCAGUUUGAGGACCAUUUGAAUGUUCCAGUGAUCUGCAGUCUCUGACUAGAUUCCGGGAGGCAGAGAUGAUGAGUGCAGACAGGCUAAUGUCUGACUAAAUUUUGCCGAUUAAAGUGAUACGGAAGACAAAGUGACAUCGUGGUGAAUGCAGAAGGUGAGCGCUGGCUGCUUGCCUUCUGAUCGCUGGUGGGACUGCUCUGCUACAGAGGGGAGACUGCCUUUUGAUUGCUGGUGGGAUUGCUCUACUACGGAGAGCGAAAGGGCUGCUGCUGUCCCUGGAGAAUGUUACCCAACUUUUCUGCAUUUUGGAUAUGGACUCGGACUACAGACUUUUUUUCAGGCUUGUAGUUUUUUAUAUUCUGUGUUUUUCGUCCGACCUUCUCGUUUUAUUGUGUGUGGGGGGGCUCAAAGUGCCUGCUCCCUUUUUGUGCGGGGAGGAGGGAUUUGGGGGUUGAUAACCAUGGUGCCGUCCUUUUCUUUCUUGAUUGCGUGGCUAUCUGGAGAAGAAGAAAUUCAGAGUUGUAUAUUUUAAGAACACAUGAACCUUUGAUAUAUGGAGGCCGGGAACAAGGAGUGGAAGGAAUGCACCCAACUACCCUGGGAAGCACCAAGUGAAUGGGGCUCAGCUGUGGAAGAGCCCAUGGCUCCCACCGUUGCCUUAUCAGCUUCCUCGGGACCCACAGAAAUGCAGUGGACAGAGGUUUCCUUCAAUCUGCAAUUAUCUCCAGGUAAAAAGAGGCAACAGCAAAGUAACUUGCAAAGUUUCAAACCACUGAAACAUUGGAGACGGCUGAGACACUGCAACCAGCAUAAUUUUGGGUUUUAGAUAUUUCACAUGAGAAAUACCACAGAGAACUAAAUCUACCAGUAAUGAUUAAAAACAGAACAAGUGAAAUGAAGUGAUCCAAGGUUGUAAACUCAUUAAGAGAAGUAGGUGGCCAUGUAUUUGUUCUUUCUGAAAAAGCUAUAGGGAACUGCAAGUCACAAUCACAUGCUAAGAGUAACCUAAUGAGUAACUUUUAAUAGCUGAGAUUUGCUAAUAUGCCAAGCAGGCUAUACUCGAUAAAUUGAAUAAAGGCUGUGUUCAAAUAUUAAGUGAAAAGAAUGGAAAUCUUUGCAGUAGUAGAGGGUGUUAGGAUGAGAAUUCCUGACUACAAGCAGGGUGUGGCUAAAGAAGCUGCGACUGAUAGUGAAACUUUGGAAAGGAAUGAGGACAGGUUGCGUGGUAGGGAGAUUGCAUUGUGUAUUUGCUCAAUAAGCUGUUAGCAUACCUUGAAUUAUUGAUUUAAGCAAACCCAGUGAUAAAUGGGGAUUGGUGGUGUUAGUAAUUCACUCCUCUGAUUCACUGCCCAAAAUUGAUUCAUCACCCAGAAAUGCCUGCAUACAAUUGUGAAAGAGCUGAGCACUAUUUUUUCAAAGCCAGUGUUCACACAAACAUGAUAGCUGGCUUUGAGCUGAUGUCCUUUUCCUUCUGUAGGUAAUAUUGAUAAUGUGUGUCAUUCCCUCAUUCAAAGUACUCAGACUGUGAUCUGAGCCAGGAGCUUGUGGGAUCAGGUCCCACCCAGGAGCUGAGUGUUAAAAAUCACAGCAGUAUGAGGGAGUGUUGAACUAUUUGGAAGUGCCAUAUUUCUAAUGCUAAACUAAUCUGAAGUCUUAUUCACCUCUCAGGUGAUGUUAAAAAAUCUCCCGGGACUAUUUCAUGGAAGAGCCUAGAAAUCUGGUCUUUAUCCAUAAUAGCAAUCAAUCAAUCAAUAGCAAAAGGUUUACUUUGUCAAAAUCAGAAUGCUGCUAUUGUACCAAUGCAGACUGUAGAUUUCAAACAGUACAUUGCUAACUGUUUGUCAUAAGUACUUCAUUAGCUGCAGCACACUUAGGGACAUCUUAAUGGAUGUGAAAGUAAAUGGAUGUGAAAGUAAACGCAUGUUCCUUCUUUUCCUUUCAUGUGGCAAAGUCAAGAAUCACUUCUCGUUUGAAUCCAAAUUGGUGAGAAAAGCUUGCAGGCAGAUCCAUGAAAGAAAGAGAAGUUGGGGCUUUCAUUCAGUUUCCCAAAUAAAAAUGGAACUUGUAGAUGAUGUUCCUCACUAUUAUAACAGUCCUGUCUAUGAGGAAACGUUAUUUCAUUUCCUAAUAGCUUUAGCCCACUGUGAGGGCCUUCAGUCCCUUUAGUCAUUCAAAAUCAGCAUAGCUUAGCAAAGCUCCAUUGUGAGCCUGGCCCCUUGGGAAGUGAGCCACAACGCCCAAAAACUUGGAACAUGUGCCUGGUGUCUUUAGAAUCACUUUGCUUUGGAAUAAAGUGAAGGCAUUGAGUCUAUUUACCUGCUGUCCCAAUAGGAACUCAGCUGCCAAUUCACUAACUGGCCAUCUGUGACUCAAAAGAUAUUAAGUUACAAUCAGCAGAGCACAAAGGACAUUAAAUAAGAGAUGAGCAUCAAAACAUUUCUGUGGGAGGGAGCCACAAAAAUAGUUCCCAUCUUUACCAGAAGCAUUUCAACCUGGAGACGAGCUGUGGUGUGAAGGACUAAUUUCUCCAUCUCUGUAGUUUGCAGUCUCUGCUACUCCCCAGGGAAAUGUGUUUACUGUGUAGCAGGGUUUGUGAGUGAACUGCUAAGAAAUGGUGCUUUUUAAUUUAGAUUUAUUUUACACUGUCCCUCCCCCCCAACUCUUCACGCCUGUCUUUUCUUUCUCUUUAAACUUCUCUCUUUUUGCUGCACUCUAGACACUGUUCCGUUCUCCUUCCGAUAUUAAAAAAUAUAAAUGCUACCAGGAUACAGAAAACAUUUUCUUUUGGUUAACGUUUAACCUGAUAUUCGGAUUUUUUUUAAAUCCCGUUCUCCGACUUCUGAUACAUAGAACAAAUGCUAUAUUUCUACACCAUGUUACGUCAGCAGUUACAUCUUUUGAUAUGGCACUUUCAGUGUCUCAGUAGUUAGUAGUAUUAUGAAACAAAUUGGAUAUCAAAACUCAAGCGACAUCGGGUUGGAUUGCUUAACUUUUUUUUGCCAAUUGUUUUGUUAAUACCUCGGUUAGCUGGAAGUCAGAUACAGGUGUAUCUAGCCUCUCAUUUUAUUCUUGGAUCAGUAUGGAGUCCAGUUGGAAGUUCCAAGUCAUACUGGGCCAGAGGCUCAAUUUACCAGCCAUAGUCACAUAGCACAGUGCCAUUUCAUCAUUCAAUUGAAUAGGUUCAUCUUCAUUAGAAAGGUAAGUUUAUUAAUUUUUGUGAAUUGAGAGAUACGGCAUAUUAACAAGACUUUCCAACCAAUGAGACUGUGAUGCCCAAUUACACCCACGUAACCAAUUGACCUACUAACCCGUGCACCUUUGGAAUGUGGGUGGAAACCAGACCCACCACUCACUGAGAGAACAUACAAACUCAUCACAGACGGCGGCAGGGACCGAACCCGAGUUGCUGGUGCUGUGAUACCCCGCCACCCAAGGGAAGCUUUCUCCCUUUUCAUAAAUUAAUAUUGAGGUACAUAGAUUUUAAAAGAUUAUUUUCAAUUACUUUAAUGUACUUUAGUUCUUUCUAAAUGCCUCUGAUCGUCAGAAAUAUGUGGAAGCAGUGGAGAAGGCCUUUACAGCAUAAACUGUCCAAAGACCUGAGAAUUGGGCCUGGUCAUCUGCUGCCUGAGGCCAGACCACUCCAAAUGGCCACAGCAGUGACAUUUCCCGACAAUGAAAGCCAUGCAAUCACAAGUGCCAGGUAGAGAGCAAACACGAGGAAAUCUGCAGAUGCUGGAAACUCAAACAACAACACAAAAUGCUGGUGGAACACAGCAGGCCAGGCAGCAUCUAU